GUCGUGAGACAGUUCGGUCCCUAUCUGCCGUGGGCGCUGGAGAACUGAGGGGGGCUGCUCCUAGUACGAGAGGACCGGAGUGGACGCAUCACUGGUGUUCGGGUUGUCAUGCCAAUGGCACUGCCCGGUAGCUAAAUGCGGAAGAGAUAAGUGCUGAAAGCAUCUAAGCACGAAACUUGCCCCGAGAUGAGUUCUCCCUGAGACUUAAAGUCUCCUGAAGGAACGUUGAAGACGACGACGUUGAUAGGCCGGGUGUGUAAGCGCAGCGAUGCGUUGAGCUAACCGGUACUAAUGAACCGUGAGGCUUAACCUUACAACGCCGAAG
rnacentral:rRNA from 1 species